rnacentral:rRNA from 1 species
UACGAAGGGGGCUAGCGUUGCUCGGAAUGACUGGGCGUAAAGGGCGCGUAGGCGGAGUGCUUUGUCGGGCGUGAAAUUCCAGGGCUCAACCUUGGGGCUGCGUUCGAGACGGGUAUUCUUGAGUCCGGAAGAGGUUGGUGGAACUCCGAGUGUAGAGGUGAAAUUCGUAGAUAUUCGGAAGAACACCAGUGGCGAAGGCGGCCAACUGGUCCGGCACUGACGCUGAGGUGCGAAAGCGUGGGG